GGGCAGGUGGCGGAACUGGCAGACGCAGGGGACUUAAAAUCCCCCGGCCGCAAGGCCGUGCGGGUUCGAUUCCCGCCCUGCCCA
rnacentral:tRNA from 1 species